AAGAAUUUUCUGCAAUUUUCAUUGGGUAAAAAGGUAUACGGCCAAUGGUAACGUUACUACGGAGCUUUUCUACUCUUAAUCCUUAGUUUGAAAUAAUGGGGCUGAAACAGGGGCUUUGUUGAGAACGUAAGUGUCGGCUUUAGGUAUGUGAAGAAAGAAAAUGGGUAGAAACAAGAAAUGAUGGAGAAGCUCUCUACAAAAUGGCGAAAAUCUCGCCGAUCAUCCGAGUUCGAUGAUGAUAGCAAUUUUUCUCUCCCCAAUCGCGAUGAAUGCCGUCCCAUUGAAACCCAACCCAAUUUCUCAAUACACAUAACACAAGCGCCUGUAUUGUAAUUUUCUGUAUAUAUCAAUAAUUGAUUGUUUAAUAAAUUUCUGUAGUUUUGAAUUACUUAUGUAUCAAUAUCUGUGAAUAUUUGUAGAGCAAGAGCAGUUGGUUCGAUCCUUCGGGAAGAAUCUCGCUCAGCAGUCUCUUCUUUGGAAGGUAUGAAUAUGAAGGAUUAUUCUAAUAUUUUAUUAUAUUCUGUUUUUGGUUACUGAUUUGCUACUUGUUUAAUUCUUGUAGAUCGUCUUUGCUGGACUGCUGUUGUGUUAUGUGGCUUUCCUCAUUUUCUUAAUUUCUCAACAGGCUUAUUAUCCCGGGGAUGAUAGUGUGGGGUACAUAAGCCUUUGUUUUGGAAGAAUAUAUAAAUAGAUAGAAAUGAAUGAGGAUGAGUGGAUAGUUUUUGUAGGUUAAUUGAAAUGUAUGAUUGAGAAUGAACGUUCAUAUGAAUGAUUUAUAAAGUGGCCAAAUUUUUUGGUGAGGCACCAAAGUCCGACCUCCUUGGGAUUCAAACUUUCAUACCUUCACCUUGUCCUACCAUCUCGAUUCCUAUUUUGGAUAAGGUAAAGGCACAAAUUCAAAGUGAUAUGGAUGGUAUGGAUCUGGGAGACUGCGUGGAGAAUAUCGAGGCUAACAUACCUUCAGUCACUUGUCUAGAUUAACAUGCAUUGGAUGUUGUAGGAAAGAGUACCAUGAGAUCUGAUGCACUUGCAUUUUGCCCAAAACAAUGUGGACCAUCGAUUGGAUAGCCUAUUUCACCAAGACAAGCACCUUUCCCCAGACAGGACCCUUCACCAACGAGCGACCUCUAUUACACAAGACUACUAUGACCAGGACAUAUUCAAACCAGACAUGACUUGGUCUAUGUAUCACCUAAGGGUUUACCCUUGUGAGCAACCUCGAGACAUUUCAUUUACUCAUUAUAUUCAUUGCUUUCAUUUACUUUGUUAUCGUUGUCGUACUUUUGCAUUUACUGGAG
rnacentral:lncRNA from 1 species